CCAGGGAGCCGCGAGCUGCCUUUUUAAGGCGCCCGGACACACACAGCACUUUUCAUGAUGGGAGCUGGGCACAGAGGUUUGAAAAGAAAAUACAGAAGAGGAGGCGAAUGAGGAGAGAAGUCAGGGAAGGGACCCCCCACUGGGCAAAUGGGGGCAUGAAAGAAAAAAGAAAAUCCUAGAAAGCCUCACACUUCUGUGGACAAAAACACCCUUUUCCAAAAGACAGGUGGUGCACGGAGAGCCCCAAAGUGACAUCGCAAUGACCACUGAGGACUGAGUGACGGCUCACACCAGCUCACAGCCGCUUGUCUGUACAGCAAACCUUGGCGCACAGCGUGAAGUCUGCUCCAGCAAACCUUCGCGCCCUGAUUUCAAUUACCGAAGCGAAGGGGACUGAGUCGUCACGAAUGCCAAGUUCUUCUCAGGAGACUCGAGCCCAUCCCAGCAUCCGGGUGGCCAAAUCCCGGGGAUAAGAAUUGUCACGCACCUGCUCAGCCUCCAGCUCUGCCAUUUACCCGGGUGCUUUUCAUCUUGCCUCGCGCUGCAUCCUCUGCACGAGCCCGUAGACGAGCAGGGAGGACAAACGUUUACCCUUCCCUAAGGCCAUCGUGCUGCACCAACUCGGUCUCGCAAUGUUGCCGUCCUCCUGCCUCAGCCUGCAGAGUCGCUGGGACCACAGGUGCUACCAGCCCUGCUUUAGGUGUAAAAACCACAAACAGGUCCUCUCUUCUUGCCCUCCCGGGUGGACAAUGGAGGAAGACCCCAGCCAUUCGUGCUCGCUUGUACCCACGCCUCGAAUCAGCCCCUUCUUGGCUGUGUGCUUGGUCUGAGCCGAUGGAAGAAUGGCAGAAGCAAUGGGAGGUCUGCAAUUGCUCAUGCACACUAGGGCCCCGAGACAACCACGUGAGGGAGCCCGCUGGCCUCCUGGAGGAUGAGAGGCCAGGUGCAAAAGGGAUGGGCUGUCCCCAGUGAGAGCCCCAGACCAACCAGCUGCCACCUGCCAGGGUGCAUUGAGGUCAUCCUCGCUCCCCAGCCCAGCCGAGCCACCAGCUGGCCAAAUGGAUCUGCCAAGCAGGCCCAGGGAAGAGCUUCGCAGUUGACCCACAGUCAGCAGAAGUAAGAUUGCGGCCCAGAGCCAUUGCGUUUCCAGGGCUUUAUCAAGGACCGCUCCCCCACCC